rnacentral:rRNA from 2 species
GGGUUGUGAGGUUAAGCGACUAAGCGUACACGGUGGAUGCCCUGGCAGUCAGAGGCGAUGAAGGGCGUGCUAAUCUGCGAUAAGCGCCGGUAAGGUGAUAUGAACCGUUAUAACCGGCGAUACCCGAAUGGGGAAACCCAGUGUGACUCGUCACACUAUCAUUAACUGAAUCCAUAGGUUAAUGAGGCGAACCGGGGGAACUGAAACAUCUAAGUACCCCGAGGAAAAGAAAUCAACCGAGAUUCCCCCAGUAGCGGCGAGCGAACGGGGAGGAGCCCAGAGCCUGAAUCAGCAUGUGUGUUAGUGGAAGCGUCUGGAAAGGCGCGCGAUACAGGGUGACAGCCCCGUACACAAAAGCGCAUGUGCUGUGAGCUCGAUGAGUAGGGCGGGACACGUGGUAUCCUGUCUGAAUAUGGGGGGGACCAUCCUCCAAGGCUAAAUACUCCUGACUGACCGAUAGUGAACCAGUACCGUGAGGGAAAGGCGAAAAGAACCCCGGCGAGGGGAGUGAAAAAGAACCUGAAACCGUGUACGUACAAGCAGUGGGAGCCCCACCACUAAGCCAGUGGUGAACUCACAUACGCAUCCUUUGCUGAAGGUGCGGUUAACGGAGCGCAAGCGACGUUCAACCUCAAAAGAAGCAGAGGGGGCUUAGUGGUGGGGUGACUGCGUACCUUUUGUAUAAUGGGUCAGCGACUUAUAUUCUGUAGCAAGGUUAACCGAAUAGGGGAGCCGGAGGGAAACCGAGUCUUAAUUGGGCGUUAAGUUGCAGGGUAUAGACCCGAAACCCGGUGAUCUAGCCAUGGGCAGGUUGAAGGUUGGGUAACACUAACUGGAGGACCGAACCGACUAAUGUUGAAAAAUUAGCGGAUGACCUGUGGCUGGGGGUGAAAGGCCAAUCAAACCGGGAGAUAGCUGGUUCUCCCCGAAAGCUAUUUAGGUAGCGCCUCGUGAAUUCAUCUCCGGGGGUAGAGCACUGUUUCGGCUAGGGGGUCAUCCCGACUUACCAACCCGAUGCAAACUGCGAAUACCGGAGAAUGUUAUCACGGGAGACACACGGCGGGUGCUAACGUCCGUCGUGAAGAGGGAAACAACCCAGACCGCCAGCUAAGGUCCCAAAGUCAUGGUUAAGUGGGAAACGAUGUGGGAAGGCCCAGACAGCCAGGAUGUUGGCUUAGAAGCAGCCAUCAUUUAAAGAAAGCGUAAUAGCUCACUGGUCGAGUCGGCCUGCGCGGAAGAUGUAACGGGGCUAAACCAUGCACCGAAGCUGCGGCAGCGAACGUAUCACUUAAAGCGAUUCAGCGGGUUACGAUUGACGGAGCGAAGCGACGUCAAAGCGUAUACAAAGUCGAGUCGGUUUAAGGAUACGUUCGUUGGGUAGGGGAGCGUUCUGUAAGCCUGCGAAGGUGGCCUGUGAGGGUUGCUGGAGGUAUCAGAAGUGCGAAUGCUGACAUAAGUAACGAUAAAGCGGGUGAAAAGCCCGCUCGCCGGAAGACCAAGGGUUCCUGUCCAACGUUAAUCGGGGCAGGGUGAGUCGACCCCUAAGGCGAGGCCGAAAGGCGUAGUCGAUGGGAAACGGGUUAAUAUUCCCGUACUUGGUGUUACUGCGAAGGGGGGACGGAGAAGGCUAUGUUGGCCGGGCGACGGUUGUCCCGGUUUAAGCGUGUAGGUGUGUGUUCCAGGUAAAUCCGGUUCACUUUAACACUGAGGCGUGAUGACGAGGCACUACGGUGCUGAAGCAACAAAUGCCCUGCUUCCAGGAAAAGCCUCUAAGCAUCAGGUAACAUCAAAUCGUACCCCAAACCGACACAGGUGGUCAGGUAGAGAAUACCAAGGCGCUUGAGAGAACUCGGGUGAAGGAACUAGGCAAAAUGGUGCCGUAACUUCGGGAGAAGGCACGCUGACACGUAGGUGAAGUGAUUUACUCAUGGAGCUGAAGUCAGUCGAAGAUACCAGCUGGCUGCAACUGUUUAUUAAAAACACAGCACUGUGCAAACACGAAAGUGGACGUAUACGGUGUGACGCCUGCCCGGUGCCGGAAGGUUAAUUGAUGGGGUCAGCGCAAGCGAAGCUCCUGAUCGAAGCCCCGGUAAACGGCGGCCGUAACUAUAACGGUCCUAAGGUAGCGAAAUUCCUUGUCGGGUAAGUUCCGACCUGCACGAAUGGCGUAAUGAUGGCCAGGCUGUCUCCACCCGAGACUCAGUGAAAUUGAACUCGCUGUGAAGAUGCAGUGUACCCGCGGCAAGACGGAAAGACCCCGUGAACCUUUACUAUAGCUUGACACUGAACAUUGAGCCUUGAUGUGUAGGAUAGGUGGGAGGCUUUGAAGUGUGGACGCCAGUCUGCAUGGAGCCGACCUUGAAAUACCACCCUUUAAUGUUUGAUGUUCUAACGUGGACCCGUAAUCCGGGUUGCGGACAGUGUCUGGUGGGUAGUUUGACUGGGGCGGUCUCCUCCUAAAGAGUAACGGAGGAGCACGAAGGUUGGCUAAUCCUGGUCGGACAUCAGGAGGUUAGUGCAAUGGCAUAAGCCAGCUUGACUGCGAGCGUGACGGCGCGAGCAGGUGCGAAAGCAGGUCAUAGUGAUCCGGUGGUUCUGAAUGGAAGGGCCAUCGCUCAACGGAUAAAAGGUACUCCGGGGAUAACAGGCUGAUACCGCCCAAGAGUUCAUAUCGACGGCGGUGUUUGGCACCUCGAUGUCGGCUCAUCACAUCCUGGGGCUGAAGUAGGUCCCAAGGGUAUGGCUGUUCGCCAUUUAAAGUGGUACGCGAGCUGGGUUUAGAACGUCGUGAGACAGUUCGGUCCCUAUCUGCCGUGGGCGCUGGAGAACUGAGGGGGGCUGCUCCUAGUACGAGAGGACCGGAGUGGACGCAUCACUGGUGUUCGGGUUGUCAUGCCAAUGGCACUGCCCGGUAGCUAAAUGCGGAAGAGAUAAGUGCUGAAAGCAUCUAAGCACGAAACUUGCCCCGAGAUGAGUUCUCCCUGAGACUUAGAGUCUCCUGAAGGAACGUUGAAGACGACGACGUUGAUAGGCCGGGUGUGUAAGCGCAGCGAUGCGUUGAGCUAACCGGUACUAAUGAACCGUGAGGCUUAACCUUACAACGCCGAAG